UACAGAGGUCUCAAGCGUUGUUCGGAUUCAUUGGGCGUAAAGGGCGCGUAGGCGGCGGGGUAAGUCUGGUGUGAAAUCUCGGAGCUCAACUCCGAAAUUGCACUGGAUACUGCUCUGCUUGAGGGUUGGAGAGGAGAUCGGAAUUCACGGUGUAGCAGUGAAAUGCGUAGAUAUCGUGAGGAAGACCAGUGGCGAAGGCGGAUCUCUGGACAAUUCCUGACACUGAGGCACGAAAGCUAGGGGAGCAAACAGG
rnacentral:rRNA from 1 species